rnacentral:rRNA from 1 species
GAUGAACGCUAGCUACAGGCUUAACACAUGCAAGUCGAGGGGUAGCAGGGUAGCAAUACCGCUGACGACCGGCGCACGGGUGAGUAACACGUAUCCAACCUUCCCAUCACUCGGGGAUAGCCUUUCGAAAGAAAGAUUAAUACCCGAUAGUACUUUUUGAGGCAUCUUAAGAAAGUUAAAGAUUUAUUGGUGAUGGAUGGGGAUGCGUUCCAUUAGAUUGUUGGUGAGGUAACGGCUCACCAAGUCUUCGAUGGAUAGGGGUUCUGAGAGGAAGGUCCCCCACAUUGGUACUGAGACACGGACCAAACUCCUACGGGAGGCAGCAGUGAGGAAUAUUGGUCAAUGGGCGAGAGCCUGAACCAGCCAAGUAGCGUGAAGGAUGAAGGUCCUAUGGAUUGUAAACUUCUUUUAUAGUAGAAUAAAGUGAUCCACGUGUGGAUUUUUGUAUGUAUACUAUGAAUAAGGAUCGGCUAACUCCGUGCCAGCAGCCGCGGUAAACAUACUGGUA